CCUUGUUCAGAAAAUUCUCAAUUACAGCUUCUGGGUACUGAACUGUAACUGCACAGUCUCAACAGCUUCCUUGAUUCAAACGCCUCCGAUUACCCACUUUCAAAAUGCACACCAGUCAUUACCCAGCAACCUUGAAUUCCUAACAAGUUUAUGGUCCAAGGAACAUUUAAAAGGUGCAGAAUUUAUACCACAGAAAAUAAAAGUUCCUUCUCAGAAUUUCGGACUUCCUUCUCUUUGGUGAGAUGCGUCCCUGACCGUUCUGUGCCUUGCUGUUUCCAGAACGUGAUCUCCUUUGAGGCUUUUUGGGCAGAUACUGGAAUGAUCUCCAUUCUUUCUCCAGCUCGUUUUACAGAUCAGAAGCAGCUGAAGGUGGAAAUGGAAUCACGGAGGGGUAAGUGUGGACUUGUUGGGAAGAACCUUCCUUACGAUGAGACGCAGACCCGGCUGCCCCAAGAGUGGAGGUUUUCUAGCAGAGGCUGACCUGUCCCAGGGCGUUUCCCAUGAGCUGCAGAGGUCCCAUCUACCCCUCUGGAAUUCCUUCAAGGAGGAAUCAUGGACAGCACUUAGCACAGAGACAACCAUAGACUCGUGGUCCUUGACCCAAUCCCCAAGAGAGAGUGGAAAGGGAAGAGAGCACAAGAGCGAGCCAUGGGGCCUACGCACAUGAGGGGACCGGACACGGAUAACGGCCCGGCACACAGGAAUUCAGAAGUGCUCAAAAGGAUUUGAAAAGGUAGAAGAGACCUCAGUUCUGUGAAAACUCCAACCAAUGCCACCUCCUGCUCCAAGCCUUUCCUGAUACUCUCCCAUUAGUUAGCAAUGCUUGUAUUUUGUCUAUUCAUCUGGACAGAGCUUGUUUCCCCCCAUCAGGAUGUGGGCUUCUGAAGGGUUCUGCUUGUUCCGUCCCCUGCCCCAUACAUCCACAUGUAGUGGGUUUGCUGAAUUACGCUCUUAAAACUCAAGGGUUUCACCAAUGUGGUGUUAUAUAGAGACAAGAUAGCCUGUUUGGGAAUAAAUUCUCAACCUAGUCUAGACGUACAACCCUGACACAAUGGAAAGAGAACUGUGACAUACACAUACUUUGGAAGAUACACAGUUCUUUGUGAGAAUUUUGCGAGAAUUUGGCUAGCAAAUAGCAUUAUUUAAAAAUCAGCCAGUUUUGAGUCACUAGGUAGCAAAGAGUGAACUUUAGUUCUAAUACCUUUAUAUCAGCUUAUUUGUUGUAACUAGUCACCAAGAAAACUUCAUUUUUUUUUUUUUUUUGCUGAGGCAAUUGGAGUUAAGUGACUUGCCCAGGGUCA